rnacentral:rRNA from 1 species
GACGAACGCUGGCGGCGUGCUUAACACAUGCAAGUCGAACGGAAAGGCCCUGCUUUUGUGGGGUGCUCGAGUGGCGAACGGGUGAGUAACACGUGAGUAACCUGCCCUUGACUUUGGGAUAACUUCAGGAAACUGGGGCUAAUACCGGAUAGGAGCUCCUGCUGCAUGGUGGGGGUUGGAAAGUUUCGGCGGUUGGGGAUGGACUCGCGGCUUAUCAGCUUGUUGGUGGGGUAGUGGCUUACCAAGGCUUUGACGGGUAGCCGGCCUGAUAGGGUGACCGGCCACAUUGGGACCGAGAUACGGCCCAGACUCCUACGGGAGGCAGCAGUGGGGAAUAUUGCACAAUGGGCGGAAGCCUGAUGCAGCAACGCCGCGUGCGGGAUGACGGCCUUCGGGUUGUAAACCGCUUUCGCCUGUGACGAAGCGUGAGUGACGGUAAUGGGUAAAGAAGCACCGGCUAACUACGUG